CGCUGGCGGCGCGCCUAACACAUGCAAGUCGAACGGAGAACGCGGGACUGAAGCCUUCGGGCAGAAGACCUGUAUUCUUAGUGGCGGACGGGUGAGUAACACGUGAGCAACCUGCCUUCAAGAGGGGGAUAGCACCUGGAAGCGGGUGGUAAUACCGCAUAAGACCACAGUGUCGCAUGGCACAGAGGUCAAAGGAGCAAUCCGCUUGAAGAUGGGCUCGCGUCCGAUUAGAUAGUUGGUGAGGUAACGGCUCACCAAGUCGACGAUCGGUAGCCGGACUGAGAGGUUGAACGGCCACAUUGGGACUGACACACGGCCCACACUCCUACGGGAGGCAGCGGUGGGGGAUAUUGCACAAUGGGCGAAAGCCUGAUGCACCGACGCCGCGUGAGGGAAGACGGCCUUCGGGUUGUAAACCUCUGUCAUUCGGGACGAAUUGAUGACGGUGCCGAAGAAGGAAGCUCCGGCUAACUACGUGCCACCAGCCGCGGUAAUACGUAGGGAGCGAGCGCUGUCCGGAAUUACUGGGUGUAAAGGGAGCGUAAGCUGGAAAGCAAGUUGGAAGUGAAAUGCAUGGGCUUAACCGAUGAGCUGCUUUCAAAACUGUUUUUCUUGAGUGAAGUAGAGGCAGGCGAAUUUCCUUGUGUAGCGGGGAAAAUGGUAGGAUUUUGGAAGGAACACCAGGGGGGAAGGGGGGCCUAGUGGGCUUUAACUGACGCUGAGGGUCGAAAGCGUGCGGUAGCAAACAGGAUUAGAUACCCUGGUAGUCCACGGUGUAAACGAUGAUUACUAGGUGUGGGGGAUUUCGGUCCUUCGUGCCGGAGCAAACGCAAUAAGUAAUCCACCUGGGGAGUACGGCCGCAAGGCUGAAACUCAAAGGAAUUGACGGGGGCCCGCACAAGCAGUGGAUUAUGUGGUUUAAUUCGAAGCAACGCGAAGAACCUUACCAGGUCUUGCCAUCGGAUGCAUAACUCAGAGAUGAGUGAAAUCCCUUCGGGGACAUCGAGACAGGUGGUGCAUGGUUGUCGUCAGCUCGUGUCGUGAGAUGUUGGGUUAAGUCCCGCAACGAGGGCAACCCCUAUUGAUAGUUGCUACGCAAGAGCACUCUAUCGAGACUGCCGUUGACAAAACGGAGGAAGGUGGGGAUGACGUCAAAUCAUCAUGCCCUUUAUGAGCUGGGCUACACACGUAAUACAAUGGCGCAAAACAGAGGGAAGCAAGACCGCGAGGUGGAGCAAAACCCUAAAAGGCGUGUUAGUUCAGAUUGCAGGCUGCAACUCGCCUGCAUGAAGGUGGAAUUGUUAGUAAUCGCGGAUCAGCAUGCCGCGGUGAAUACGUUCCCGGGCCUUGUACACACCGCCCGUCACACCAUGGGAGUCGGUAACACCCGAAGUCAGUAGCCUAACCGCAAGGAGGGCGCUGCCGA
rnacentral:rRNA from 1 species